rnacentral:rRNA from 1 species
AGCGAACGCUGGCGGCAGGCUUAACACAUGCAAGUCGAACGGGCGUAGCAAUACGUCAGUGGCAGACGGGUGAGUAACGCGUGGGAACGUACCUUUUGGUUCGGAACAACCCAGGGAAACUUGGGCUAAUACCGGAUAAGCCCUUACGGGGAAAGAUUUAUCGCCGAAAGAUCGGCCCGCGUCUGAUUAGCUAGUUGGUGAGGUAACGGCUCACCAAGGCGACGAUCAGUAGCUGGUCUGAGAGGANGAUCAGCCACAUUGGGACUGAGACACGGCCCAAACUCCUACGGGAGGCAGCAGUGGGGAAUAUUGGACAAUGGGCGCAAGCCUGAUCCAGCCAUGCCGCGUGAGUGAUGAAGGCCCUAGGGUUGUAAAGCUCUUUUGUGCGGGAAGAUAAUGACGGUACCGCAAGAAUAAGCCCCGGCUAACUUCGUGCCAGCCGCCGCAGU